rnacentral:rRNA from 1 species
GAUGAACGCUGGCGGCGUGCCUAAUACAUGCAAGUCGAGCGAACGGACGAGAAGCUUGCUUCUCUGAUGUUAGCGGCGGACGGGUGAGUAACACGUGGAUAACCUACCUAUAAGACUGGGAUAACUUCGGGAAACCGGAGCUAAUACCGGAUAAUAUUUUGAACCGCAUGGUUCAAAAGUGAAAGACGGUCUUGCUGUCACUUAUAGAUGGAUCCGCGCUGCAUUAGCUAGUUGGUAAGGUAACGGCUUACCAAGGCAACGAUGCAUAGACGACCUGAGAGGGUGGUCGGCCACACUGGAACUGAGACACGGUCCAGACUCCUACGGGAGGCAGCAGUAGGGAAUCUUCCGCAAUGGGCGAAAGCCUGACGGAGCAACGCCGCGUGAGUGAUGAAGGUCUUCGGAUCGUAAAACUCUGUUAUUAGGGAAGAACAUAUGUGUAAGUAACUGUGCACAUCUUGACGGUACCUAAUCAGAAAGCCACGGCUAACUACGUG